AUGUUUGGAUUUAUGGGUACAGAAAAAAAAACUGGCAAUGGACAUUUGGUGCCCACGGUUGGAUGGCCUCCACCCCUAUCCCUGUCCGCGGACGUUUUGGUGAUCCGCGUUGGAGUCUCCCUAAGACUGGCGAAAUAUGAUCCACCGCAGAUCUGCACAUCACCAUCACUAUCCACCAGAAUUCAACCAAACUCAGCGCAGCCAAUGCCCUUGGCCAACAGAUCAGAGGUGGAUCAAGAAAGGAGUGGACAUGUAAGAAGUUUUCUUGGCCUUGCAACUUUCCACAGGCGAUUUGUGAAGAAUUUCAGCACUGUCAUGGCACCAAUUAUCGAGUGUCUAAAGAAAGGAAAGUUCCAAUGGACAGAAGCGACUGAAGCUAGUUUCAAUAAGAUCAAGCAAAAACUCUCACAAGCUCCUGUCUUGGUGCUACCUGAUUUUAACAAGGCUUUUGAGUUGGGAGUGUGA
rnacentral:rRNA from 1 species